rnacentral:rRNA from 1 species
CACGUAGGGUGCGAGCGUUGUCCGGAAUUAUUGGGCGUAAAGGGCGCGUAGGCGGCCCGGUAAGUCAAAGGUGAAAUCCCUCGGCUCAACUGAGGAACUGCCUUUGAAACUGUCGGGCUUGAGGCCGGGAGGGGGUAGCGGAAUUCCCAGUGUAGCGGUGAAAUGCGUAGAUAUUGGGAGGAACACCGGUGGCGAAGGCGGCUACCUGGACCGGUUCUGACGCUGAUGCGCGAAAGCGUGGGUAGCAAACAGG